AGCAUCGGAAAAGAUGAAGGAUGAGUUUAUGGAGUGCUUAUGUGAGUUAUGUUCAUGAGCUUAUGGAUAUUGUGUGUUGUUUGUUGAUGUAAUUUUUUAUGAACAUGGAUGAAAUAAAUUCAAAAUGGAGGUGAUUAUUUGUAAGAAAUUGGAAAUGUUAUAUUUGGAGGUGGAGGAAUGGUUUGGAAAAGAUGAUGAUGGUGACCAUGUUCUUCAUGUUGUUGUU
rnacentral:lncRNA from 1 species